UACGUAGGGAGCAAGCGUUAAUCGGAAUUACUGGGCGUAAAGCGUGCGCAGGCGGUUGUGCAAGACCGAUGUGAAAUCCCCGGGCUUAACCUGGGAAUGGCAUUGGUGACUGUACGGCUAGAGUGUGUCAGAGGGGGGUAGAAUUCCACGUGUAGCAGUGAAAUGCGUAGAGAUGUGGAGGAAUACCGAUGGCGAAGGCAGCCCCCUGGGAUAGCACUGACGCUCAUGCACGAAAGCGUGGGGAGCAAACAGG
rnacentral:rRNA from 1 species